UUCUCUCCUCCAGAAAAAUAAUUAGGAUUAUUAUAUUAUUAUUUGUUUUGUUUCCUCGAAUAAAAAAGAGAAUCCGAGAACUUUUUAAGACAAAAGCCAAGUCUUCGAAACCUUAUGAGAUGUGAUAGGGUUACAAGGGUAAAACAGGAACUCAGAAUAAAAAUAAGUUAAUCGAGAAAGCUCCAAAUAAACACCACUCGUCCGCCUCUCUGUCUCUCACCAAAAUAAAAAACUCAAUCUCUCUCUCUCUCUCUCCAUCGAGAAACACUAAACUGCUAUAAUCAUUACCUCUCUUCGAUUUCUCAAACCCUAUCUGGCUCUCUACCCAUAUGCUUCAGAUCCGCAUUAAAAAAGCUAAGUUUUUUGUUAUGUCCUUCUUUCUUAUUUGAUCAGUUUGUUCUUGUUUCACGAUUUUAACCUGAGAUUUUUUAUAUAUUUUCUCCAGAUCUGCUAUCCGCAGUCAUCUGUUCAUAGGAAAAGAUCUGGCUUUACUUUUAGAGAUUAUCUCAGAUCCAGCCUUUUACCCAAUUGAAGGUAGGUCCAUAUGCUGAAGAUUUAUCGCAGGAGCGACCACUACGGGAGCCGCCAUUGGAGAUUCUCUGUGAGAGAGAGAGAGAGAAAUAGUUUGAGAAUCAAUCUUCUGUAUUUUAUUGUGUAGAUCAAGUUAUUUAGUAUAUGCUAGUACUUAUGGUUAAAAUAGACUAUUAUUAAAAUUCAAAAGUAAUAAAGCCAACGAGUACACUAAACUCAGAUUAUAUUUUCCAAAACUAUUGCUAAAGAAUAUCAAUACGUACACUAGAUAUAGAAAUCGGAAUUAGGUACGUUGUGAUCCAUUUCAGCUACUGUUAGGGGUAAGAUUUGGGCUUGCUUGGCCCAAGGCCCAAAUCCAAGUCAAAGGCCUAAGCAGAAUGUUAAGUCAAGAGGGUAGGCUCGUCAAAAUCCUGGAGGAGUGUCCUACACGCAGAAGGCUAUAAAUACGGAAUAGCAUGUCUUGUCAAAGGGGGAUUCCGCCGGACACGCAGAGACACAGAGCAGCUCGUCAGCUCACCCGUCCGAAGUAUCCCGCCAGCCGGUCCGUCUCAAGCAGCUCGUCAGCUCACCCGUC
rnacentral:sRNA from 1 species